rnacentral:rRNA from 1 species
UACGAAGGGGGCUAGCGUUGCUCGGAAUCACUGGGCGUAAAGCGCACGUAGGCGGAUUGCUAAGUCAGGGGUGAAAUCCUGGAGCUCAACUCCAGAACUGCCCUUGAUACUGGCGGUCUCGAGUCCGGGAGAGGUGAGUGGAACUGCGAGUGUAGAGGUGAAAUUCGUAGAUAUUCGGAGGAACACCAGUGGCGAAGGCGGCUCACUGGUCCAUUACUGACGCUGAGGUGCGAAAGCGUGGGGAGCAAACAGG